rnacentral:rRNA from 1 species
UACGAAGGGGGCUAGCGUUGCUCGGAAUUACUGGGCGUAAAGCGUGCGUAGACGGUUAUUUAAGUCAGGUGUGAAAGCCCCGGGCUCAACCUGGGAAUUGCAUUUGAGACUGAAUAGCUAGGGUGCGGAAGAGGGAAGCGGAAUUUCCGGUGUAGCGGUGAAAUGCGUAGAUAUCGGAAGGAACACCAGUGGUGAAAGCGGCUUCCUGGUCCAGCACCGACGUUCAGGCACGAAAGCGUGGGGAGCAAACAGG